GUUUAAGCAGCGUCAACGUUUCUGUUACUCUCAGUUAAAUCAAUGCCAAUCAGAGAGUGCAGAUUGAGAAACAUCAAAAUUUUCCAAAAUUCUAUGGGUUUUAUUCAUAUCAAGUUGUCAUCUUUACUUUCAGAUGAAGGAGAGCUUUAGAAAGAUGUGUUUGUUGUCUGCGUGCUUCAUUGCAACAGCCCUGCCACACUAGGAGGAAGACAGGUUUUGGGUCCUGUCUUGGUGAUAAAGGUAAAACUAAAGGACAAUCAAAUCUCAUCGAACUUCUCUCUGAGGAGCUGAUGAUGUUUCAGAAACAGUGACAAAGUUCAGAAUCCCAUUCUUCCAUCCUAGAUGGGAAACAUCAACUUUCCUGAUGAUUUCUGUUGGCUGCUGUGGCAAAUGUCACACACUUAGUGACUUCAAAUAACCCAGAUGUAUCAUCUGACAGGGUGGAGAUGGUAAGUGCAGCAUAGGUUUCAUUGAGCUAAAAUGUACAUGUUCAAAGCACUGAGUUCCUUCCUAGAGACUCUUGUAGAGAAUCUGUUUACUUGCUCAUUUAGGUUGCUGGCAGAAUUUAGUUCUUGGAGGUUGUAGAACUGAGAUCCUCAUUUCCCCAUUCCUAAGUUCCAAAGGCCAUCCACAUUCUUUGGCUCAGGGCCUCUCCUUCAUCUUCAAAGCCAGCAAUGGCAGGUCCAACUCUUG
rnacentral:lncRNA from 1 species